rnacentral:lncRNA from 1 species
AUGGCACUCGCACUUCUGAUCCAAUACCCACUUCCCGCCCAGCGCCUCUUGCGCGCGCCACAAGGGCGCCCAGCCCACCAAGCCGGUCUCGGGCCCCAGAGGAGGCCUCCAGAGAGCCCCUUACCUCCCGCCAGGGCGCUUGAGGCCGGUAGGUGCCCACGGCGCAGGCGCAGGAGCGACGGGGCGGGGCGUCGCGAGGGGUGGGUUGGGAUGUACCCCCCCACUCCGCCCCGCCUCACCCCGCGAGGCCGCCGGGCGGGGUGCGCGGGUCAAACAGAAAUGCUGUUCACCUCCCACCAUGAUUCUGAGGCCUCCCCAGCCAUGUGGAACUAUAAGUCCAAUUAAACCUCUUCUUCCCAGUCUCAGGGAUACACAUUCUCUCUUCUCACCACAUGGCUGCUGCUGGAGAAUGAAGGAGGGGUGGUUUCAGCAAUUCAAGACUGUCCUUCCUACCCUCUUCAGUGCCCGACCUUGAUAAGUUGUUUAAACCAGGUACUGUGAUCACUCACCUGAUUUUUGGUUCUUAUGAAGGGGCUUUCUUGUUUGGAUAGUUUUUUAAUUUGCUAUUCCUGGCAGAGGGAUGUUCACUGGAGGUGUCUAUUCAGCCAUCUGGCCCCACCUCCCUCCAAUCUAUCCCUCAUUUUUCUUUAAUUGCUUUAACUAGCUCAGAUGAACUUCUACUAUUUUUUUUUCUCUUGAACUUCUACUACUUUCACUAAGAGAAUUCUAACUAUUGUAGACACAAAAGUUGAUGUUCCUACUAUCUUAUAUCAGUUUAAACAUAUAUGUAAUGAAUCCACUGACUUUAGUACUUAAACCUCACUGUCUGCUUUAUUGUCCUCUGCCACCACACACACCAUCAUCAAACAGUCUGUUCAUAUAUAUAUAGUAAGGUUAAAAGGCUUUAUCUCAAACCCAAAGGAGUAAACACUGCAGAUAAUCAGGAAUGCUAGGAUUUUCCACUUAUCUCUCAUUCACUACAUAGGAAUUUCAUGAUCAUUUUAUAUAUGGAGUGACUUAAAUGCCCAGAAAUGUGCUUAUAAAUUUCAUUCCCUUUUUUCCCCUCCCUCUUUUUGUUCUUUAGAUUAUCUAGUUUAGUUAUUCUUACA